GGGGCGGUGGUCCAGCCUGCCGCGAGGCAGGGACAACCAGUGAUCGUGGGUUCAAAUCCCACCCGCCCCA
rnacentral:tRNA from 1 species